AGUGAACGCUGGCGGUAGGCCUAACACAUGCAAGUCGAACGGCAGCACAGUAAGAGCUUGCUCUUACGGGUGGCGAGUGGCGGACGGGUGAGGAAUACAUCGGAAUCUACUUUUUCGUGGGGGAUAACGUAGGGAAACUUACGCUAAUACCGCAUACGACCUACGGGUGAAAGCAGGGGAUCUUCGGACCUUGCGCGAUUGAAUGAGCCGAUGUCGGAUUAGCUAGUUGGCGGGGUAAAGGCCCACCAAGGCGACGAUCCGUAGCUGGUCUGAGAGGAUGAUCAGCCACACUGGAACUGAGACACGGUCCAGACUCCUACGGGAGGCAGCAGUGGGGAAUAUUGGACAAAGGGCGCAAGCCUGAUCCAGCCAUACCGCGUGGGUGAAGAAGGCCUUCGGGUUGUAAAGCCCUUUUGUUGGGAAAGAAAAGCAGCAGGUUAAUACCCCGCUGUUCUGACGGUACCCAAAAAAUAAGCACCGGCUAACUUCGUG
rnacentral:rRNA from 1 species